GCCUGUGUGGAGUAGUGGUAACUCACCGGUCUCCGACUCUAUAAUAGUUAAGAUAACCGGGAACCCGGGUUCGAACCCCGGCGCAGGUG